rnacentral:rRNA from 1 species
GACGAACGCUGGCGGCGCGCCUAACACAUGCAAGUCGAACGAGAGAGAGGAAGCUUGCUUCCUUAAUCGAGUGGCGAACGGGUGAGUAACGCGUGAGGAACCUGCCUCAAAGAGGGGGACAACAGUUGGAAACGACUGCUAAUACCGCAUAAGCCCACAGCUCGGCAUCGAGCAGAGGGAAAAGGAGUGAUCCGCUUUGAGAUGGCCUCGCGUCCGAUUAGCUGGUUGGUGAGGUAACGGCCCACCAAGGCAACGAUCGGUAGCCGGACUGAGAGGUUGAACGGCCACAUUGGGACUGAGACACGGCCCAGACUCCUACGGGAGGCAGCAGUGGGGAAUAUUGCACAAUGGGGGAAACCCUGAUGCAGCGACGCCGCGUGGAGGAAGAAGGUCUUCGGAUUGUAAACUCCUGUUGUUGAGGAUGAUAAUGACGGUACUCAACAAGGAAGUGACGGCUAACUACGUGCCAGCAGCCGCGGUAAAACGUAGGUCACAAGCGUUGUCCGGAAUUACUGGGUGUAAAGGGAGCGCAGGCGGGAAAGCAAGUUGGAAGUGAAAUCCAUGGGCUCAACCCAUGAACUGCUUUCAAAACUGUUUUUCUUGAGUAGUGCAGAGGUAGGCGGAAUUCCCGGUGUAGCGGUGGAAUGCGUAGAUAUCGGGAGGAACACCAGUGGCGAAGGCGGCCUACUGGGCACCAACUGACGCUGAGGCUCGAAAGUGUGGGUAGCAAACAGG